rnacentral:rRNA from 1 species
GACGAACGCUGGCGGCGUGCUUAACACAUGCAAGUCGAACGGAAAGGCCCUGCUUUUGUGGGGUGCUCGAGUGGCGAACGGGUGAGUAACACGUGAGUAACCUGCCCUUGACUUUGGGAUAACUUCAGGAAACUGGGGCUAAUACCUGAUAGGAGCUCCUGCUGCAUGGUGGGGUUUGGAAAGUUUCGGCGGUUGGGGAUGGACUCGCGGCUUAUCAGCUUGUUGGUGGGGUAGUGGCUUACCAAGGCUUUGACGGGUAGCCGGCCUGAGAGGGUGACCGGCCACAUUGGGACUGAGAUACGGCCCAGACUCCUACGGGAGGCAGCAGUGGGGAAUAUUGCACAAUGGGCGGAAGCCUGAUGCAGAAACGCCGCGUGCGGGAUGACGGCCUUCGGGUUGUAAACCGCUUUCGCCUGUGACGAAGCGUGAGUGACGGUAAUGGGUAAAGAAGCACCGGCUAACUACGUG